rnacentral:rRNA from 1 species
GGGUUGUGAGGUUAAGCGACUAAGCGUACACGGUGGAUGCCCUGGCAGUCAGAGGCGAUGAAGGACGUGCUAAUCUGCGAUAAGCGUCGGUAAGGUGAUAUGAACCGUUAUAACCGGCGAUUUCCGAAUGGGGAAACCCAGUGUGAUUCGUCACACUAUCAUUAACUGAAUCCAUAGGUUAAUGAGGCGAACCGGGGGAACUGAAACAUCUAAGUACCCCGAGGAAAAGAAAUCAACCGAGAUUCCCCCAGUAGCGGCGAGCGAACGGGGAGCAGCCCAGAGCCUGAAUCAGUGUGUGUGUUAGUGGAAGCGUCUGGAAAGGCGCGCGAUACAGGGUGACAGCCCCGUACACAAAAAUGCACAUGCUGUGAGCUCGAUGAGUAGGGCGGGACACGUGGUAUCCUGUCUGAAUAUGGGGGGACCAUCCUCCAAGGCUAAAUACUCCUGACUGACCGAUAGUGAACCAGUACCGUGAGGGAAAGGCGAAAAGAACCCCGGCGAGGGGAGUGAAAAAGAACCUGAAACCGUGUACGUACAAGCAGUGGGAGCACGCUUAGGCGUGUGACUGCGUACCUUUUGUAUAAUGGGUCAGCGACUUAUAUUCUGUAGCAAGGUUAACCGAAUAGGGGAGCCGAAGGGAAACCGAGUCUUAACUGGGCGUUAAGUUGCAGGGUAUAGACCCGAAACCCGGUGAUCUAGCCAUGGGCAGGUUGAAGGUUGGGUAACACUAACUGGAGGACCGAACCGACUAAUGUUGAAAAAUUAGCGGAUGACUUGUGGCUGGGGGUGAAAGGCCAAUCAAACCGGGAGAUAGCUGGUUCUCCCCGAAAGCUAUUUAGGUAGCGCCUCGUGAAUUCAUCUCCGGGGGUAGAGCACUGUUUCGGCAAGGGGGUCAUCCCGACUUACCAACCCGAUGCAAACUGCGAAUACCGGAGAAUGUUAUCACGGGAGACACACGGCGGGUGCUAACGUCCGUCGUGAAGAGGGAAACAACCCAGACCGCCAGCUAAGGUCCCAAAGUCAUGGUUAAGUGGGAAACGAUGUGGGAAGGCCCAGACAGCCAGGAUGUUGGCUUAGAAGCAGCCAUCAUUUAAAGAAAGCGUAAUAGCUCACUGGUCGAGUCGGCCUGCGCGGAAGAUGUAACGGGGCUAAACCAUGCACCGAAGCUGCGGCAGCGACACUAUGUGUUGUUGGGUAGGGGAGCGUUCUGUAAGCCUGUGAAGGUGUACUGUGAGGUAUGCUGGAGGUAUCAGAAGUGCGAAUGCUGACAUAAGUAACGAUAAAGCGGGUGAAAAGCCCGCUCGCCGGAAGACCAAGGGUUCCUGUCCAACGUUAAUCGGGGCAGGGUGAGUCGACCCCUAAGGCGAGGCCGAAAGGCGUAGUCGAUGGGAAACAGGUUAAUAUUCCUGUACUUGGUGUUACUGCGAAGGGGGGACGGAGAAGGCUAUGUUGGCCGGGCGACGGUUGUCCCGGUUUAAGCGUGUAGGCUGGUUUUCCAGGCAAAUCCGGAAAAUCAAGGCUGAGGCGUGAUGACGAGGCACUACGGUGCUGAAGCAACAAAUGCCCUGCUUCCAGGAAAAGCCUCUAAGCAUCAGGUAACAUCAAAUCGUACCCCAAACCGACACAGGUGGUCAGGUAGAGAAUACCAAGGCGCUUGAGAGAACUCGGGUGAAGGAACUAGGCAAAAUGGUGCCGUAACUUCGGGAGAAGGCACGCUGAUAUGUAGGUGAAGCGACUUGCUCGUGGAGCUGAAAUCAGUCGAAGAUACCAGCUGGCUGCAACUGUUUAUUAAAAACACAGCACUGUGCAAACACGAAAGUGGACGUAUACGGUGUGACGCCUGCCCGGUGCCGGAAGGUUAAUUGAUGGGGUUAGCGCAAGCGAAGCUCUUGAUCGAAGCCCCGGUAAACGGCGGCCGUAACUAUAACGGUCCUAAGGUAGCGAAAUUCCUUGUCGGGUAAGUUCCGACCUGCACGAAUGGCGUAAUGAUGGCCAGGCUGUCUCCACCCGAGACUCAGUGAAAUUGAACUCGCUGUGAAGAUGCAGUGUACCCGCGGCAAGACGGAAAGACCCCGUGAACCUUUACUAUAGCUUGACACUGAACAUUGAGCCUUGAUGUGUAGGAUAGGUGGGAGGCUUUGAAGUGUGGACGCCAGUCUGCAUGGAGCCGACCUUGAAAUACCACCCUUUAAUGUUUGAUGUUCUAACGUUGACCCGUGAUCCGGGUUGCGGACAGUGUCUGGUGGGUAGUUUGACUGGGGCGGUCUCCUCCUAAAGAGUAACGGAGGAGCACGAAGGUUGGCUAAUCCUGGUCGGACAUCAGGAGGUUAGUGCAAUGGCAUAAGCCAGCUUGACUGCGAGCGUGACGGCGCGAGCAGGUGCGAAAGCAGGUCAUAGUGAUCCGGUGGUUCUGAAUGGAAGGGCCAUCGCUCAACGGAUAAAAGGUACUCCGGGGAUAACAGGCUGAUACCGCCCAAGAGUUCAUAUCGACGGCGGUGUUUGGCACCUCGAUGUCGGCUCAUCACAUCCUGGGGCUGAAGUAGGUCCCAAGGGUAUGGCUGUUCGCCAUUUAAAGUGGUACGCGAGCUGGGUUUAGAACGUCGUGAGACAGUUCGGUCCCUAUCUGCCGUGGGCGCUGGAGAACUGAGGGGGGCUGCUCCUAGUACGAGAGGACCGGAGUGGACGCAUCACUGGUGUUCGGGUUGUCAUGCCAAUGGCACUGCCCGGUAGCUAAAUGCGGAAGAGAUAAGUGCUGAAAGCAUCUAAGCACGAAACUUGCCCCGAGAUGAGUUCUCCCUGACUCCUUGAGAGUCCUGAAGGAACGUUGAAGACGACGACGUUGAUAGGCCGGGUGUGUAAGCGCAGCGAUGCGUUGAGCUAACCGGUACUAAUGAACCGUGAGGCUUAACCUUACAACGCCGAAGGUGUUU